GACAGAGGUGCCGAGCGUUAGGCGGAAUCACUGGGCUUAAAGCGUGUGUAGGCGGACUUCUAAGUACCUUGUGAAAUCCCACGGCUCAACCGUGGAACUGCUCGGUAUACUGGUUGUCUUGAGCCACUUAGGGGCAGUCGGAACAGACGGUGGAGCGGUGAAAUGCGUAGAUAUCGUCUGGAACGCCAAAGGUGAAACCAGACUGCUGGGAGUGUGCUGACGCUGAGACACGAAAGCCAGGGGAGCAAACGGG
rnacentral:rRNA from 1 species